UAACCGUCUCCGUAAGGAGUCGCUGAACAUGCAGAAGUCAGCAGAAGCCAUAGUACCCAAAUAAAGGACGCUUGAACGGGGAAGGGC
rfam:Brevibacillus brevis NBRC 100599 DNA, complete genome.